rnacentral:rRNA from 1 species
UACGAAGGGGGCUAGCGUUGUUCGGAAUUACUGGGCGUAAAGGGCGCGUAGGCGGCCAUUCAAGUUAGGUGUGAAAGCCCUGGGCUCAACCUAGGAAUUGCACUUGAUACUGUUUGGCUUGAGUUCGGGAGAGGUGAGUGGAAUUCCCAGUGUAGAGGUGAAAUUCGUAGAUAUUGGGAAGAACACCAGUGGCGAAGGCGGCUCACUGGACCGACACUGACGCUGAGGCGCGAAAGCGUGGGAGCAAACAGG